AUGGAGUUAAUGUCCAGCUACCUUAUUAGCCUUCUUCUCUUCUCGUUCUUAGUCCUUUCUCCCAGAGCCUUCGCCGCCGAGGUUACCGACACGCUCGGCAAGGGCCAGAAUGUCACCGACGGCGAGACACUCGUCUCAGCCGGUGGGUCAUUCACCCUGGGGUUCUUCUCUCCCGGGGUGGCUGCCAAGAGAUAUCUUGGUAUAUGGUUCACCCUGUCUGAGGACGUCGUCUGUUGGGUAGCCAACAGUGAAAGGCCUCUCAGUGACUCUUAUGGGGCGUUGGUGAUUAGUGCCAUGGGAAGCCUCCUCCUGCUGGAUAGCUCCGGUCAAGUCGUGUGGUCUUCAAACACAACGGGUAUUGGCUCCACAUCUGUGCAACUGCUCGAGUCUGGCAAUCUAGUCGUGAGUGACGAAAGCGGGGGUGCUGCCAUGUGGCAGUCAUUCGACCACCUGUCGAACACACAGCUUCCCGGAACCAAGAUCGGCAAGAACCUGUGGACCGGUGCAGACUGGCAACUUACGUCGUGGCGUUCAGCAAAUGACCCUUCCGCAGGGAACUUUCGCUACAUGACCGAUGCAGAGGGCGUACCACAAAACAUUCUUUUGGAUGGUGAUCAAGUGAAAUACCGCACCGGACCAUGGAAUGGCCUAUGGUUCAGCGGUGUCACGGAGAUGGCCACAUAUUCUGACAUGUUCACCUACCUGUUGACAAGCACCCCAAGCGAGGUAACCUACGGUUAUGUCGCCAAGCCUGGAGCGCCCUUUUCACAUGUACUGCUCACUGACGACGGAGUAUUCCGGCACCUAGUGUGGGACCAUAGCAGCCGGAAGUGGAAGGUUUUCUUUCAAGGGCCGCGGGACAUCUGUGACCACUACGGGAAGUGCAGGGCAUUUGGUAUGUGCAACGCCAAUGCACCAUUGGCAUCAUUCUGCAGCUGCAUCAAGGGGUUCAGCCCGACGUCUCCUUUGCUGUGGAAGAUUGGGGACACCUCGAAAGGAUGCCGCCGAAACUUGAUGUUGGACUGUGGCAAUGGAGCUUCCACCACGGAUGGUUUCGUGGUGAUGGAGGGGGUGAAGCUUCCUGAUACACACAAUGCAUCGGUGGAUCCGAGCAUCACGUUGGAGGAAUGCAACACAAGAUUGAUGGUGGCAACUUUAGUAUAUUCUUGGUUUGUUGCUGUAACAGCUGAAGCGCAGCACCCACAGUUUCCAGCUCCGUUGGUUAUUGGUGCAUCCAUAGCCUCCCUCGUUGUGGUUCUCCUUGUUCUUUUAUCCGGCACGGGAGAUGCACUUGAUCGUUCUACUAUAAGAGAGGCUACAAGAAAUUUCUCUGAAGCAAAUGUCAUUGGCGAAGGUGGAUAUAGUGUAGUCUACAGGGGGCAGCUACGCGAUGGUACAAUGGUUGCUGUGAAGAGGCUCAAAAAGUUUUAUCUUACUGAUAAGGGCAAGGAAGAUUUCUCAAGGGAAGUGGGAGUGAUGUCAACACUCAGGCAUGUCAAUCUUGCUAAGCUCCUCUACUAUUGCCGGGAAGAAGAUGAGUGGAUACUAGUCUACGAACUGAUGGAGAACAGAAGUUUGAAUCUUUACAUAUUUGGGGAAGAAAACGGAUUUCGUUCCUCACUGAAUUGGGCGCAAAGACUGGAAAUAAUUGGUGGGGUCGCUGUAGGUGUUGAAUUCCUUCACAGCAAGGGAGUCAUCCACAGGGAUCUAAAUCCUGGCAAUAUACUUGUCAGUGACACGUGGCAUCCCAAGAUAACGGACUUUGCCACCAUGAAGCUGUUUAUUGACGAGAAGACAAAUCCGGCAUUAGUACUGAUGCCGGGAUAUCUCGCUCCAGAGUAUUCAGGGGAAUGGGCCUUGACGUACAAGUGUGAUGUAUAUAGCUUCGGAGUCGUCUUGCUUGAGAUAGUCAGUGGCAGAAAGAGAACAGACACGCCAACGCUCCUUCUUCAGGCCUGGGAACUGUGGGAUCAGCGUAGGAUCAGGGAGCUUCUUGAUCCGGAAGUGGCUGAACCUGAAGGCGACCUCUUGUCACGGCUAGUCAGGUGCAUCCAGAUUGGCCUUCUCUGCGUGCAGCGUUUGCCCGAGGACAGACCUACAGUGACUGAGGUUGUGGAAUUGCUAACCAACACCAGCUCACAGCUCCUGACGCCACAGAGACCCACACAACUAUUCUCAAUCGACACACCCGGACUGAGCCGGACCAUUCGAUCUGACCAGCAUCUCCCACGGGGAUCUCAGUGA
rnacentral:rRNA from 1 species